CAGCUGGAUAUAGUGGUGUAGUCUUCCUUGGUAUUCUCCUGCUAUAUGUACCCCUCUCCCGGGUGAAUAAUUGGUGUUUGGCUUGUAUUUUCACGGGCAAUCACUAUAGAAACGGUGAUGCCCUGCGUUUCAAGCCUCUUCCUCAUUCUUCCUUGCGGAUUUGAGCUCCGUUGCGUCACUUCCGGUUUCGCCGAUACGUCAUUUCCGU